AUCCAGCUGACAUGUCCCAAUUAGAGCGAGACGUGCGUCCUGGAU
rnacentral:hammerhead_ribozyme from 1 species